rnacentral:misc_RNA from 1 species
CUACCUGGACCAGUCGGUACAGUCCGCAGCAAGGAUCAGCUAAUCCAGGGACUGGGUGGGAGACAGAGAUCAGCUAAUCCAGGGACUGGGCGGGAGACACAGAUCUGGAUUAAGGAUUUGCCUACAAAACACUUUCCAUAGUUCAUUCUAUUAUCUUAACCUCAGAUAGGAUAAAUCUCCUUAAAGGAGAAUGUUCUCUAUCCAUCUCAAAUCCUUAGUGACAUGCACAGUAUUUUUUUAUUUAAUGUUGUUUCUCUGGAGGAAAACAAGAUAUAUCUUUUUGUAUAUUGUUUCAGGUUACAGGUACAUAUUAUUUACAGUAUGCACUUUAUUUAUAUCACAUUGUUAUCAAUCUGGUAAUUUUUUUUCCCACAUUAAUUUGAAAUAGUAAACCAAAAUCAACUAGUAUUUAAUUUGUUCUGCAGAUCCUAAUUAUUGAUUUACAGUGAUAUUUUUUUUUCACAACUAUUGUACUUUAUAAUUCAUUCUGUCUGAAGUAGUAAAUUAAUCUGGACUAGUCAUUGUGGACAAAUGUUCUCAACUAAGAGAUUGUUUUCUAAUGAUCCUUUCAUAACUUUCUUACAAGAAUAAAAGUUUGGCUUGAAUAAAAACUGUGGAAUCAUUAGAAUUCUUGGUGCCUGUAUUGCAUAGGACUAUUGGGGGAACAUUGCUUCCACCAAACAUGCUUACCAAAUUACAAAACUGUAUGCAAGCCUGCAGUGGAGAAUCCACUUAUGAAAUUUGGCCCCCUUAAAAGGAAUAACUAAUUAGUUUAAAGAAGGGGGGAGGGUGAGUCACCAAUGUGUAUAUUUCAGAUAAUCAGAUGAUACAAUGUGUUUUCCAUAUGAGUCUAUUAUUAUAUUUCAUUUGUUUUGUCUCUGAUUGGGAAUGCUGGGUUCUCUCUUUUUUGCAAUGUUCAAUGAGAAAUAUGCUUGUAUGUGAGAUGAUGAUAAUGGUGUUCGUUGCUUCAUGUGAUAUUUCUAAUUAUAAGUGCUAUGUUUUAUUUUGUUCAUGUGUAAUGUUGUUUUUAUGUAUACUUUUUAUUCUUCGUGUGAUAAUCAUUCGAAUUUUGUUAAGAGUUGUGUGAGAAAUUUCCUCUCUGAUUUCUUUAUUAUUUUGUUUUUAUUUUAUUGUUAGUUGAGUAUUAUUGUGUAAUACAAAUGAUGUCAUACUAAUAGAGCAAUAGAAUAUUUUUUUUUACAAUUUAUAUUGUUAUAUUAUGUGUAUAUUAACUUUGUGUGCAUGUACAAGAGCUCCACCAGUAAUAAAAGUCACAAAAUGU